rnacentral:misc_RNA from 1 species
GAAAUGCGAUAAGUAAUGUGAAUUGCAGAAUUCAGGGAAUCAUCGAAUCUUUGAACGAACCUUGCGCUCCUUGGUAUUCCUUGGAGCAUGCCUGUUUGAGUAUCAUGAAAUCUUCAAAGUAAAUCUUUUGUUAACUCAAUUGGUUUCUACUUUGGUAUUGGAGGUCUUUGCAGCUUCACACCUGCUCCUCUUUGUUCAUUAGCUGGAUCUCAGUGUUAUGCUUGGUUCCACUCGGCGUGAUAAGUUAUCUAUCGCUGAGGACACUGUAAAAGGUGGCCAAGGUAAAUGCAGAUGAACCGCUUCUAAUAGUCCAUUGACUUGGACAAUACUUUUAUGAUCUGAUCUCAAAUCAGGUAGGACUACCCGCUGAACUUAAGC